ensembl:lncRNA
AUACACAAGAAAUUGUCUCCCUUCUCUGUAAACAAAUAAAAGACUUUAUCCACUUUAUCACCCUUGGUGACCUGAUACAAAUUACAUUCAUGCCAAGUGUCUGAAGUAAACAGCGUACAAAGGCUUAUCAUUUACUUUUUAUGCUUCUGUAUCUAUAAAAUCUGAUAAAGCAAUAAAACAGUGUGGCUAGUAUAAAAGUUAAACCCACACUGGAGUCAUCUGCAAACAAAGUGAAACAUUCUAUAAAAAGAUAUGAAGGAUUUUUGUUGUCAAAUGUCUGUACAGCCUUUAAUAACGUUUUAUCCUUCUGUAUCAAAAACUUAAAAAAAAGAUUGUUAUAAAAUUGAAAAAUUACUGCUUUCAACUGAUAUGGCUGUAAACUUAUUAACAGGCCAAGCACACGCACACACAUACAGUAAAUAAUCCAGUAACAGAGAUAGACUUCUCACACAGAGAUAUACUGUUAUCAUGACACUGAACUUCCACCAGCUUUCUCAGUACAGAGGUUAUUGAGAAAUACUUCUCUUGCUUGUAUAAACCCUGCCUGUCACAUAAAUACCUCCCAUUUGCCUGCAAUGUGAACCUAUAAACAGGAAAAUAAAAAAAGCAAAUCCAGGCCAACACAAUAACAACAUUCAAACAGGAAAAGCUUUCUAUUCAGAAAUGAAGAGGUACAGCUGAUCAGUUUCAAACCUGAAGAUUUAUGUACUUCUUUAUUUACUAUCUUUAAAAUGUAAAUGUGGUUCUCUGAAUAGCAUUUAUGAUUUAUUAGGUUCUCUGUUCAGAUCUUGUUGGAUACUGUAGAGGUAAUACCCUCCAUUUUCAAAAAGUAGAAGUGGAUCAGCAGUCAUGAAUUGCACUGGGUUCCAGUACUGUUUUAAAUGGUGCUACCAUUGGAGUGGACUUGAGCAAUCACAUCCUAGAGAUGAAUCCUAGGGUGAGAGAGUACAAAUGCAGAUUGUGGAUGCACCCAGUCAGGAAUGGAUUGGGAAUAUUAUGGACCAGAUCUUCCCUCGCUUGAUGCCUGCUGGUGUUUGACCUGGUCUUUCAGCUACAUUAAAUAUUGCCAUGUAGAGAUGUGCAAGACUGUGAAUCCAUACACUGUGUUCAACGUACUUGUGGGACACAAGUGUGACAGAAAAGAGCAGGAAGUUAAUCAGUUUUGCAAAUGAAUUGGGAGCAGCACAAACCAGCCACAAUGUGGCAGAAGUUUUUGAACUGUUGACCCGGCGCAUUAAUCAG